CAGCACUAAAUGUGGACGUGAAUGUACACCUCCAUAUAAAGUGAGGCCUGAUCCAUGUCUCAGACCAAAUGUGUGCUGAUAACUCUUCCCACGAUGAUCAAUGUCCUGCCUGACCAAAGUGUUGCCCAACCACCUGUGCAUGCAGCUAACCAUGCCAGUUUAACCAUUGGGAAUUUUAUGAGGUCUUCUACGUUCACCAAAUAAAUCUCCUAGUUUAGCAAGA